AUGUUGCGCACGGCGAUCGCCGCGGAGGCCCGGCGGCGCAUCUCCCUUGCCCCGGCAAGAUUCGCGCACGAGCUCGCGCAGGCGCAGGCGCAGGCCCAGACGGCCGUCCCUGAGCGGGGCGGCUUUGAUCCAUCGUGGGCCCCGCUCUACAGGAGAAUCUCGAGGCUGUACGGCAGGCCGCCGGGAAUGGUGGCGGCGGAGAUGGACAACUAUCUCCGCAAGCGGCGCCCGCUCUCCGCGGACCAGAUCGUCGCCUACGUCCGGAAGCUCCGCAAGUUCAAGAGCAACGCUUGCGCGCUCGAGUUGAUGGACUGGAUGGAAUCUCGUGGAGCAAAGUUGAUACCUGGGCAUCAAGCGCUGCGGCUUGGCCUGGUUUCAAAAGUGCAUGGGAUACAGGCAGCUGAAGAAUAUUUCUGGAGCCUUCCUGAUAAGUCAAAGAAAACUUAUUCAUCUUUGCUUAACUGCUAUGGUGAACACAGAAUGGCAAGCAAAGGUCUGGAACUCUAUGAGAAGAUGAAAGUCAUGGACAUUGUUCCAAAUACACUGUUGUACAACAACUUGAUGACUUUGUACCAAAAGGCGGGCCAGCCAGAGAAAAUCCCCUCCACAUUUGAAGAAAUGCGAGAAAGUGGUAUAAGUGCUAACAAUUUUACAUAUUGCAUAUUGAUAGAAAGCUAUGUUACAAUGAAUGACCUGGAGGCUGCAGAGAAAGUCCUGGAAGAAUUGCAGAAGGUGGCUCCAGUUCACUGGUCCUUGUACACUAUGAUGGCAAACAAUUACCUCAAACAAGAGCUGUUUGGAAAGGCAGAAGUGGCCCUAAAGAAAGCUGAGGAAGUCAUGGAUAAAGCUGAGUUGUUGUCCUGGCAUUUCCUCAUCUCUUUGUAUGCCCGUUCUGGCAAUUCAACCGAGCUUAAGAGGAUCUGGGAGUCUUUGAAGUCCACAUUCAAGAAAUGCUCGAACAAAAACUAUCUUGUGAUGCUUGAAGCUCUGAGUAUGAUUGAUGACCUUGAGUCUUUGCAGCAAAUCUUUCAGGAGUGGGAAUCGAGUAAUGAACAUUACGACAUGAGGAUAACAAAUGUCAUGAUCAAAGCUUACCUUGAUAAGGGCAUGAUAGACGAAGCUGAGGCUAUCCGUCAGAGCACCAUGUCUCAGGGCCAUUGCAACGGGAGGACGGUUUACAUGUUUGCCGAGUUCUAUUUGGACAAAUCUGAUGUUACCGCGGCACUGGAGAUCUUGAGAGAUGCAAAGAAGAUGCUUACGGCACACAAAUGGGUGCCAUCGGAAAAGCUUACGAGCAGAUUUCUGAAGCACUAUGAAGAGUCAAAGGAUGUUGAUGGUGUGGAGUCUUUCUGCGAGUGCCUGAAGAAGCUCGAAUGCCUUGAUGCGGAAGCUUAUGAGGGCAUGGUGCGGACCUAUAUAGCUGCAGGUAGAACCAACCCAUCCAUUGCUCAGCGCAUCGAAGAUGAUGGGAUUCACGUUGGCCCUGAGACGACGAAAUUGCUGGAGCGUGUUUCCGGCAAUUGA
rnacentral:rRNA from 1 species